AUUGAACGCUGGCGGCAUGCCUUACACAUGCAAGUCGAACGGCAGCAUAGGAGCUUGCUCCUGAUGGCGAGUGGCGAACGGGUGAGUAAUAUAUCGGAACGUGCCCUAGAGUGGGGGAUAACUAGUCGAAAGAUUAGCUAAUACCGCAUACGAUCUACGGAUGAAAGUGGGGGAUCGCAAGACCUCAUGCUCCUGGAGCGGCCGAUAUCUGAUUAGCUAGUUGGUGGGGUAAAAGCCUACCAAGGCGACGAUCAGUAGCUGGCCUGAGAGGACGACCAGCCACACUGGGACUGAGACACGGCCCAGACUCCUACGGGAGGCAGCAGUGGGGAAUUUUGGACAAUGGGGGCAACCCUGAUCCAGCAAUGCCGCGUGAGUGAAGAAGGCCUUCGGGUUGUAAAGCUCUUUUGUCAGGGAAGAAACGGUUCUGGAUAAUACCCAGAGCUAAUGACGGUACCUGAAGAAUAAGCACCGGCUAACUACGUGCCAGCAGCCGCGGUAA
rnacentral:rRNA from 1 species